GCCCAGGUGGCGGAACUGGCAGACGCGCAGGUCUCAAAAACCUGUGGCCUUCACGGUCAUGUGGGUUCGACCCCCACCCUGGGCA
rnacentral:tRNA from 1 species